ACACGACUACAUUAGACUACCCCGUAGUCCUAGGCGUAAAUGAUGCGAGUUAAGUGGUGGGGGCAUCUACGAGAUCGGCCCUGUGCUGGUAGGGUAGACCGUUAAACUCGCUGCCGUGGGAGUACGGUCGCAAGGCUAGAAAACGUUAAAGGAAUUGGCGGGGAGCACCACAAGAGGUGGAGGCUGCGGUUCAAUUGGACUCAACGCCGGGAAGCUCACCGGAUAAGACAGCGGAAUGAUUGCCGGGCUGAAGACCCUGCAUGACCAGCUG
rnacentral:rRNA from 1 species